GCCUCUUUCAAGGCCCUUACGUCUGAUCUCCUAAGAUUUCAACAAAGAAAUUUAGAGAGGACACAGCUCAGCCUGUGACAGGGGCCAUGGAGGCCGCAUGCAGAGUAGCAUCAAGCCAAGAGGAGCUGUUCUUAUCAUGGGAGCUUUAAUCCUUUGGAAAUCUUCAUGUUUUUAUAUAAUUUCAUGACUACAAAGGUAGAUGAUUUGUGUAUUCCUUAUGGCGGAUGGCCUGCAGAUGGCAGUAAAGCACUUCCUCUAACAUUACCAGCGUGUUAUUCUAACCAAUGGAAAGAGAGUAUCUUGAAACAGCAGCCUUUUGGCCUACACAAGCACCGUGCUUUUGGACUGGCCGGGCCCCAUGACUGUCCAGGGCCCUGGCUGUGACAGUGGCCAGCCAUCCUGACUGAGUCCAGGCAGGAUCAUUCGAAUGUCCUAAGUUUCAUCAGCUAAGUCAAAGGAAAUGUGUGACUCCAACAGCCCCGUAGCAUGGCAGGUCUGGGGGCUGCUGCUUCUCGGGCCCUUGGAAGGAGGGGGCUGCUUCAGCCACUGACACAACUAUUCUGCAAGACUGCCGAGCCUAUGGAGGGCCAGCCCUGCUCCAACUGUCUAGAGCAGCCUGGGCGCCUUUUGGUCAAAGCUGCCCCAUGAAGCUUCCGGGAUCUGUCUACCACCGCUGCUGGAGAUCUCAGACCAUUGCCUCUCUCACCGCCCUGUGGGUAGAAUCAUCUGGGUACUGGAUGCUUCUAGUUCAAGAGCCAGAAAGAGCAAAGGAAGGCAGGAAAAGACAAGAAAGAUGAGGGAGAGGAGUCAGCUGGCGUGGGGAGCCCUGUGCUGGGCAGCCUUUGAGCUCCUCCCGUGUUGCUGUCUCCUGACACAUGGGGCUGUGGCCUCGUCCCAGAGCCAGCACUGUUGGGUAUUUUGUGCCCAUAAUGGGAAACUGACAAAUACAGAAAAUUGCUACUGAGAAUGCAGUCGUUGCCAGGAUUGUACCUGACCACGUAGAAGCCUUUGAAACUGGUUUGUGGGGAGAGUUUGGAAAAGUUUGGAGAUGCAGGCUAGGGAAGCCCUAGCAGAGCUUGAUGGAUGACGAAGAAUGCAUCCCAGGCUCCUGAGGUCUCCGUUGGUAAGGAGGACUCUGUUGCAAACUGGACUGGAAGCCGUGCAUAUUUCAUUCUGGCAAAGUAUUUGACCAUAUCCUAAGACUAUGUGAACUUGAAUUUAAAUAUGGCAGAUUUUAAAAUUCUGGUAGAGGAGUUGGGGAUUUAGCUCAGCGGCAUAAGUGCCUGCCUUGUAAGCAGGCAGUUGUGAGUUUGAUCCCUGGUACCCAUAAAAAGGAAAAAGACAACAACAACAAAAAAAAUCUGGUAGAGGAAAUUUCAAAGCUGCUUUUAGCCAGAUCAACAGUGAAAAUCAAGAAAAGUUUGCAUUUUCAUCAGAAGGGAAGUACCUGCAGAGUUGGGACAAAGGAGAGCUUGGUUGCUGGAAAGAUCAGCAUUAAAAAGGAAGCAAAGUAUUUUGUACAGGGACUAGGUGCUUUAAGGCAUCUGAGAAAUCAGCAAGACUUCAGUAACUUCAUGCCUAAGGGUGUCAAACUGUAAAUAUUUAUUUUAAGAAGAGAGUUCCUGGGAUGCUUCCUCAUUCAAGGCUGCCUAGGAAAGUAUAUCCCUGAGUUCAGCCAACCAGAGACUCAGGAGCCACUGCAGCCAUGAUCCAAGGGGCCCAGCUACUGCACAAGCUGGCAGCUGACCUUGGUAUCAUUCACAGGGUGCUGGUUUUGCAGGCAUGCAGAAUAGAACAGUUAUGGAAUCACAAAGGCUUUCACCAGGUUUCAGAAAAAGACCUGAGAGACCGAGGAAAAAUAUGUGACAGGCUUGUAGUCCCGGACAAUAUGUGAAGCUGUGAGAGUGAAGCCAAAGGUGUACUGGAGACUCCUUGUGAAGAACAUAGAGUAUCUGCUGAGGAGAGCUGCAGGCCAUGAGCAAUGCUAGCUUGAGAGAAAGGGCAUGAUGGUCACAAGAAGUAAGACCACAGGGCCUGGCCUGGCCCCAGCUCUUUGGAAGUCCCAUCUCACCAAAACCUGACUUGUGGGCUGGACUGGAACUAUGGGGAUUGCUGGGUAUUGGCGUUGCCUGGGUCCAGUUCCGUUCUACCCCUAUUCCUUCCUUUUGGAAUGGAAAUGUUCACUCUGUGCCACUGUAUGUUGGAAGUACUUAACUGUUUUUGAAUUUUUUUUACAGGUGCUCACAGCUAGGAGUUUAUCUUGAGUCUCAGAAGAGACUUUGGACUUUUCAGCAGUGCUUGAACUGUUAAAGACUGCUGAUGCUUAGAGAUGGACUAAAUACAUUUUGCAUAAUGAGAUGGAUAUGAACCUUUUGGGGCCAGUGGUGAAAUGUUAUGAUUUAGCUCUAAAACAUUUCUCAAAAUUCUCAUGAUUGUAGGGGGAUCUUGGUUGGAAGUGGUGGAGCAUGACUUGGAAGUGGGUAUUCUCUUCCCAACUGUGUCUGUGACUCUGUCUGCAUCCUGGCUACUGUGGACUGAGCAGCUUUUUCCUGCUAUGCUAUUCCACUAAAUCUUUUGGCCAUAGAGUUUCUGCCUUGAAGCCAACCAAUCAUGCACUGUACCCACUGAAACUGUGAGCCAAAAUAAACUGCUCCUCCUUUCA